rnacentral:rRNA from 1 species
AUGGACCAAUCCAUCCCUUUUUCUCGCGCAUAUGCAUCGGACUCCGAUGACGAUGGUCCCGAUGAAGAAGUUGAUGAGGGGUUCAAGCCCAAGGAGGCCCAAGCAUUUAACAAGCUAUUCGGGCGGGAUCACAAGACACCAUCGUUCAAGGAAAUUAGUCUCGCGGAUGAAGCCAUUGUAGAUGGUGGCAAAUGUAUAUCUCUUGGAGCUAGGCCAAGUUCUCAC